rnacentral:misc_RNA from 1 species
CAGUGUUCCCUGCCCUCACGGGUAGAAACGCCCACCCUUGUGUAAUAUAUAUUGUUGCUUUGGCAGGCCGCCUCCGGGCACCGGCUCCGGCUGGACCGCGCCUGUCAGAGGACCCCAAACUCUGAAUAUUCGUGUCGUCUGAGUACUAUAUAAUAGUUA